GCUGGCGGCGUGCUUAACACAUGCAAGUCGAGCGGAAAGGCCCUUCGGGGUACUCGAGCGGCGAACGGGUGAGUAACACGUGAGUAACCUGCCCUUGGCUCUGGGAUAAGCCCGGGAAACUGGGUCUAAUACCGGAUAUGACCAUCGGAUGCAUGUCUGAUGGUGGAAAGUUUUUCGGCUGAGGAUGGACUCGCGGUCUAUCAGCUUGUUGGUGGGGUGAUGGCCUACCAAGGCGACGACGGAUAGCCGGCCUGAGAGGGUGACCGGCCACACUGGGACUGAGACACGGCCCAGACUCCUACGGGAGGCAGCAGUGGGGAAUAUUGCGCAAUGGGCGAAAGCCUGACGCAGCGACGCCGCGUGGGGGAUGAAGGCCUUCGGGUUGUAAACCUCUUUCACCACCGACGAAGCUAACGUGACGGUAGGUGGGGAAGAAGCACCGGCUAACUACGUGCCAGCAGCCGCGGUAAUACGUAGGGCGCAAGCGUUGUCCGGAAUUAUUGGCGUAAAGAGCUCGUA
rnacentral:rRNA from 1 species